rnacentral:rRNA from 1 species
CGCCUGGGGAGUACGGCCGCAAGGUUAAAACUUAAAUGAACUGACGGGGGCCCGCACAAGCGGUGGAGCAUGUGGUUUAAUUCGGCGCAACGCGAAGAACCUUACCUGGCCUUGACAUGCAGAGAACUUUCCAGAGAUGGAUUGGUGCCUUCGGGAACUCUGACACAGGUGCUGCAUGGCCGUCGUCAGCUCGUGUCGUGAGAUGUUGGGUUAAGUCCCGUAACGAGCGCAACCCCUAUCCCUAGUUGCUAGCAGUUCGGCUGAGAACUCUAGGGAGACUGCCGGUGACAAACCGGAGGAAGGUGGGGAUGACGUCAGGUCAUCAUGGCCCUUACGGCCAGGGCUACACACGUGCUACAAUGGUGCGCACAGAGGGCUGCAAACCCGCGAGGGGGAGCCAAUCUCACAAAACGCAUCGUAGUCCGGAUCGCAGUCUGCAACUCGACUGCGUGAAGUCGGAAUCGCUAGUAAUCGUGAAUCAGAAUGUCACGGUGAAUACGUUCCCGGGCCUUGUACACACCGCCCGUCACACCAUGGGAGUGGAUUGCACCAGAAGUGGUUAGUCUAACCUUCGGGAGGACGAUCACCACGGUGUGGUUCAUGACUGGGGUGAAGUCGUAACAAGGUAACCGUA